rnacentral:rRNA from 1 species
UACGGGGGGGGCAAGCGUUGUUCGGAAUUACUGGGCGUAAAGGGCUCGUAGGCGGCCAACUAAGUCACACGUGAAAUCCCUCGGCUCAACCGGGGAACUGCGUGUGAGACUGGAUGGCUUGAGUUUGGGAGAGGAAUGCGGAAUUCCAGGUGUAGCGGUGAAAUGCGUAGAUAUCGAGAGGAACACCUGCGGCGAAGGCGGGUAGCUGGGCCGACACUGACGCUGAUGCGCGAAAGCCAGGGGAGCGAACGGG